rnacentral:misc_RNA from 1 species
CCCCUAAACCCUAAUGCCUCCCUUGUGCCUGUGCCCACUCCAAACCUGCCUGUCCUCUGCCGCCGGCGGCUUCCAGGCAAUCAACGGCGGCUGCUCUAGGGCUCUCCACCCGUGUCGGCGUCUCCAGCUCAUCCUCGAAGGUCGUCCCUGCCCCCUGCUCAUCUACAAGACACAAGAUGAGCUCGUCAUCCGAAGGUUGUCCCUGCUCCCCUCCUUCACCCUUGUCUGCAGUUUUGCAGUCUGCACUGCAGCACUACCCUUUUGUCUGCAGUUUCAUGCUGCCGGUGGACGAAGAGGUGCUGAUGUUGAGGUCUUAUUCCCUGGGUCCAAUGUGGUUGGCAGUGCAAGUGAUUUUGUUCCUCCGGUGACCUCAAAUGUUGAUAGCACAAGCCCUGGUUCGGCAUUAUCAACUGCUGCAGACUCAAAAAGUCUUGCUGAAAAGGCUAUUGCAGCACUCCCUCCUGAGCUUAGUACACAAGCAACUGACCCAAAAAGAAAGGCAAGAUCACAGGACCCAGGAUGGAAGUUUGGGUGGUGGCCAGACAAAACAAAGGAUUUUGUUCAGUGUAUUUUCUGUUCGAAGAUUGUUCCUUCCGGAAUCAAAAGGUUCAAGCAGCAUCUCUUGUUUGUGCUACUGUUGGCUACUGCAUUACAUAUAUAUAUAGCUCUAGGUAAUCCACACUUUUCACUUAUGCUGCAUUGCUGCUAGCUUGCUACUGCUAUAUUUCAGUAAUUCAGUUCCAAAUUUCCAAUCCAAUUUCAGUUCUAUAUGGCUUAUAUGCCCAGAAAUACAUAUCUACAUAUAUAUGGCUUAUAUGCCCAGAAAUAUACAUAGAACGACUAGGGACGACCAGGACCGAUUAGGCGUCCUAAUCAUCGCCCUAAUCGCGAUUAGGCGCCUGGUCGGUCCUCUGGGACGACUAGCUGGUCGCCCGACUUGAAAUCCGUGCUAGCGAGUGGCGGUUGCAGGGUGGGAUACGAUGGAGGGUAACCUAGGUUAAGUACUGGGCUAGCUGGGCCAAAAAACAGCAAGCUGGUCUUCCGUGUGUCCUUGAUCUCUUUUAUUUCUUUUCUUUUCUUUUUACUUCGCUAUUAAACCAGUAAAUAUAUUAGUUAUGGGUUCAUUUUUUCCUAAUCUUCUACUACUAUCUAUUAGUUAUGUUGGAUUUUAAGUCUAUUAUGGUGGUUUACGUUGAACUUGUACUCCUAUUUGGUACUAUUAUCCCUACCUAUUUAAGACUAUCUUCAUAUAUAUUCCUAUAUUUAUAUAUUAGUAAGUGUCGUCUCGCCUUACACAUUAUCGCUUAAAAGGUAAAAACGGGGCCAGACGCCUUACCGCCUUAACAACUAUGCUCCUAAUAGACACACUACGUUCUCUAGAGCGCACUAGCACAUAGGAACUCGUACCUUGUCCACCACGUGUUCGUCCUAUCACGUGUAAGUGGGUUUAUAAGGUUAAGACCUGUUGUAAUGGUUCUCUUGAGCGCUAUAAGGCUCGAUUGGUUGCUCGUGG